rnacentral:rRNA from 1 species
AACUAACGCUGGCGGCGCGUCUUAAACAUGCAAGUCGAACGGUAGUCCAUAAGCUUGCUUAAGGAUGAGAGUGGCGAACGGGUGAGUAACACGUGGAUAAUCUGCCUCCGGGUUGGGGAUAACUGUCCGAAAGGAUAGCUAAUACCGAAUGAGAUGGUGGUUAUGCAAAUAACAGCCAUUAAAGGUGGGGACCGCAAGGCCUACUGCCUGGAGAUGAGUCCGCGGCUGAUUAGCUUGUUGGUGGGGUAACGGCCUACCAAGGCGACGAUCAGUAGCCGGCCUGAGAGGGUGAACGGCCACAUUGGGACUGAGAUACGGCCCAGACUCCUACGGGAGGCAGCAGUUAAGAAUCUUGCACAAUGGGCGCAAGCCUGAUGCAGCGACGCCGCGUGAAUGAUGAAGGCUUUCGGGUUG